CUUAAAUAUUAAACUAUGUACAGAUGCUAUGAUAACAGUUUCUUUUUAACGGGCUGACGUUCGACUUUCAACCGUAGCAAUCUAGAUUCAUCAAAUUACAAGAUAUACUUAAUAAGAAAAGUAUAGAGUUAAAAUGUAUAAAUGUAUGGAUCUACAAACGUAUACGGUAUCAAUCCUGCUUCAUUCAGUCGUUUAACUUUUUUUUUUUUUAAGUAAGCUUUUAUAAAUUUUUUUUUUUUUUUUAGUUAAUCCGUAAAUGUUGUGCCAUCGCCAUUCGACUUGUUAUUUUGAUAAUCAGCCUCUCCUCCUCCUUUG